AGAUCUCAAGUAUACCUUCAGAGAAAUGCCAGCAAAAACUGUAGUCAUUUGGGAAGGAAUAAGCCUGGAAGAAAAAGAUACAACGAACUAGCACAACGAGGCGUAAAACGCUGGAGGAGAAGUCAGUAGCAAGCAGCUAAGACAACAUGGUACAUGUGGCUAGAAGCCCACCAACUGCUAACAACCAGCUGGAGGGUAAGUCAAAAGCUAUGAGAGCCCAGAAGGAGAACAAUUAUUUAGACCUGGAGGGGCCAGUUGGGAAAGUCUUUGAAGGGUCUUCAGAAAAUGGACCAAAAGAAAAGAGGAAAAGUCAUUCUACUGAGAGGUGUUUGUGUAAUCAAAGCAACCGAGGCCUAAGAACUCACAAAAGAUUAGAAAAGGGUAAAGGAUGCCUGGAAAGCCGGACUAGGAAAAGGCUGUGAAGGGCCCUGAAGGUCACAUGUCACAUGUUGCCUGCAGCAUGCAGAAUCAAAACAUGAUAAAUCAUGUCUUGAAUCAUGACAUAUGAAGCAUGACACACGAAUCAUGACAUGUGACAUGUUGAAUGUCACAUGUCACAUGCCGUAGGCAGCCAUCAAGAGUAUUUGAAAGGAAAGUGUAUAAUCAGGCCUGUGCUUUAGUAAGACAAUUUGUAUAGUGUUCAGUGUGGAUUAAAAUGGAGAACACAGGUAUCAGUUUGACAUCGACAGUACAGGAAACCAUUUGGGUUUCUUGUACACCAAAAUAUUAAAACAUACACGCAAACACACCAACACAUUAAAAUCUUGAGAGAGAGGGCCAAAAGUUCUUUGUCGCUGGACUAAAAGUGGAAAUAAAUGUUUACAACCUCUAAGGUGGAUUAAGCUAAGAAUUUGGAGUUGUUGGCAAAACUGCCACAUAAAAUUUCAGACAUGCAAAGAAAUGCAAUCGUAGACUUAUGCACAUACUUCCACCAGAGAAGGGAAUCUGGGCAGAGUGUUCAAAGCUUAAGAAAUUCCUUUGCUCUUCACCAAGAAGAGCCAACAGAGUUUUCGUUGAAUCAACUCUUAUAUUCCCUUAAAAAGAAGUUGAUAGUGUUGUGGAAAACUCACCCAUUGAAGUGACAACAAAAACAGCAACCCAGUAUGAGUUAACUGGUAUUAUGUUAAAGGGACAAGUAACUGCACUUUUGACACACAUCCUCUAAAAGGUAGGGUGGGAGUGUUUCAAAGAACCAAGUCUGAGUAAUAGAAAAGCAUAUACCACUUCCCCAUAUACACGUUCGAGCAUGGGGGAGCAGGAAGCUGGGUAAUUGAAUGCAGUUGUGCACACUGGCAAUUUUCCCGCCACAUACCAUUUCUUCGGUGUCUCUCCCAAAAUUCUCCUCCUAAGUGGCACAUCCCUUUAUUGAUCAUCUUUCCCCAUACUGAUCAUCCUCAGCAAUCAUGUGAGUUAUUAGUCUAAGUAUUUGUUUUUCUCAAAUAUGGUCUUUUAACUACUCCCUAAAUAUUUUAUAUAUACAUAGUUUGUUUUCCCAAUUUAACUACAAGCAUUUAAAAAAUGGGAAUAUUUGUCUAUAUUUCUGUAAUUUUUCAUCAUGCCUUAUAUGGUAUAUAAAGAUCAACAGCAAUAAAACAACAACAGUAAUAAUAGCUAAGACCUUUUGAAUACUAACUGUAUGUUCAGCAUUAUUUCAACAGCUUUACAGGUAUUAACUGAUUUAAUUAUUACAACAACGGCAUGAAGUAGAUACUACUGUUGUCAUCAGUUUAUACUUGAGGAAACUGAGUUAUGGGAUGGUUAAUUAUCUUUUCCAUGGUCACAGAGCCAUUAAAUGUAUGAUCUCAGACAGUCUGACACCUGAGCUGUGCUUCAAUGUACCUGUUAAGAUAUUCUUUUUCUUGAAUUCAAAUUCUGAAAGGAAAACAGAGUUGAAAAAUCAGAGGCCCUAGCUAAUCAAGUAAAGUUUUGCUUUAAAAACAGCAAAAAACAAUCUUCCUAAGGUCUCUGCAACAUUUUGUGGCCCAUCACAGAACAGGGUCAUCUUUGACUUCUACACCAAGGAAAAUGUGGCUUUUGGAUUCUUGGACAGAAUCUACUGCAUGGCCUCUAUCUUCAUAUGCCCUUGCUGGGAUCCGAAGAUAAUAUGAAUAAAGUAGAUAUAGUGGAAGUGAGUAGAAGAAACAUCCUGAACAAAAAACACUUGUUCCACUUGGCCAGCUACCUAUAUUCUCAUCAAGGGAGAGUUGGCCACAGGUAAUACCACAUCAAAGUGCAAACUCUGGAUCAACUUGCACUUUUACUUAUUCCUACCUUUGACACACACAUAGCAUAACAUGUAUAAUUCUUAUUCUGGGCAUAGUUGGUGGUAGGAAGGUUUUUAUACAUUUGAGAUUCUAUUUGGUGAGCAUAUGGUAACAACACAAGAAAUGUGCCAUCAGACUACUGUUCAUCAGCUUACGAAGAUGGCUACAACAAUUCUUAUGAUUCUUGUGCACAUGUUUCUUUGCCAUGCAACUUUGUCACCCCUUCCCAUCAAGACAUAGAGUCCAUUUCUUUUUCCCUUUAAUUUGGCCCUGUGACUUGCCUAAAACCAACAGAAGGCUGCAGAAGGGACAUCAUAUGACUUCAGGGUCUCAGCACCAAAAGGCCUUUCAGCUUCUGCUUUCAGGCUGUCAUUGCUGUGAGAUAGGAAGCCUGGGCCAGCCUCCAUGAGAAUGAGAGACCACACCUGGUCAACAAGGAGAGCCAACCUUCAGCCAUGUGAGUGAGACCAUCCAGCCUCAGUUAAGCUGCCAGAUGACUGAAGCCAGAUAAGUGGCCCCAGGCAAGACCAGCAAAACAGCCAACUGGCUGAGCCCAGCCCAAAUUGCUAAGGCAUAGCAAUUUAGGACAAGAUAAAUUCUUGUGUUUUAAAUCAGGAUUUGUUAUGGAGAAAUGGAUAACUGAUAAAGCUCCAAAUCCUAACUGAGACAAGAAAUUCAACACCUUUUAUAUUACCAUGAUACAAACAUUAUUUUCUUAAUAGUCAUCAUUAAAGCUUUGUAUGUUUAACUGCCCUUCCACUACUACAACAGCUACUGUGCUGGUGCAUUCACAUUCAUGCAUACACAUAAAGACACAUUCUCCAGUUUCCCAACUAGUUACUCAUAUACUCUUUUGGGCUUUCAUUUCUCAAUAUUGCUAUAUUUCCAGCUCAGUCCGUUUAACUAGCUUCAUUCCCAUAUAUCCAGCUCUUCCUGUCUAUGAAGAGUAGCUUACCAUUACUUACUAUGUGCCAGGAACUGUUUCUCACUAUCACUUUAUCAGGCAGAUAGUUCUCUAUCAAUAACUACUGAACAGAUGACUUCAUCUAGUCAACCAUGACAUUAGAAUCAAUCGCAAGAUAGAGAUAGGAAUCAAAGAGAAGAGAUAAAUAUGUUACCCUUAUUACUUAUUUUUAAAAUAUUUAUAUUGGAAAAUACGAUUGCGACACCUACUAACCCACACAAACACAAGAACAUUUGGGCAACCACAGGCCUCCUCCAAUGCAGAUUGGUGUGUGAAAAACUUACAGCAUGGAGGAUUAAAAAAUGUAUAUUCUCUGAAGGCAGAUAUGCCCUUCCAGAUACAAGAAAAUGAAUGAACCAUUAAUGCUGAGUUCUUUCUCCCAAGCUGACCAAUCAGUUGUGACGAUUCCUCUCCCCUAGGAAUAGUCACUCUUGAGAAGUCACAAUUGUAACAUCGAUGGAGGUUUCCUAUAGAAACAUAAAGACUGGGGAUUAUGUGUUUCCCCUAUAACAAAUUUUGUCCUUAUCUUGUGACUUUCCAUUAUGUUUCCAGCCUCAACAUCUUCCCUAAGCCUCAGAAUUAUAUGUACACCUGUCUAUUCAGUCUCUGCUUGGAAGCCUAAUGGGUAUUUCGAACUCAAUAUGUCGAAGAGGAUACUCCUCAUUUUUUUUUUUAACUAUCUCUUCACUCCUCUUUAGUUUGCUAGGGUUGCCAUAACAAAAUAAGGCUGGGAAACUUAAACAGCAGAAUUUUAUCCUCUCACAGUUCUAGAGGCUGGAAGUCCAAGAUCAAGGAGCCAGCAGUGGUUUCUCCUGGUAUCUCUCUCCUUGGAUAACUUCUCACUAUGUCCUCACAUGGCCUUUUCUUUGCACACACAUAUCUCUGGUGUCUCUUCCUUCUUAUAAGGAAUCAACCAUAUUGAAUUAGAGACCCACUCUUAUGAUCUCAUUUAACCUUAAUUACCUCCUUAAAGGCCCUAUCUCCAAAUAUAGUCACAUUAGAGGUUAGGGCUUCAGUACAGGAAUUUUAGGGGUAGGGCACAAUUCAGUUCCUAACAACCCCUCUCACAAUCUUUCCUAUUUUAGGAAAUGGCACCACCACUGAUUAAUUGCUUAGGCUAAAUUUUAGGAAUCAUCUAAGAUUCCUCUUCCCCUCAUACCCCACAUCCAAUCCAUUAGGAAGUUAUGUGUGUUUUACCAAUUUCAUAUCCCACCACCUCCACUAUGGACUCCAGGUUUUGCCAUCUUGUUCUGCCUGCUCUACUGUAAUAGUCUCCUAAAUGGUUAUACUGGUUCCUUUCCUGCCCUGCUACAGUCCAUUUCUCACACAUCCACCAGAGUCAAUCAGAUACCAUUGAAAGUAAAUCAGAUACCAUUGCUUCCCUAAUUUGCAAUCUCUAGUGACUUCUCAUUAUGCUUAGAAUAAAACUCAACUCCAUUUUACAACCCACAUUCAUCUACCCUUGCCCACCUCACCAUCCUUACUACAUAUCACUCUUCCCCAUCAUUCACUCAACUCCAGUCACUUUGGCUGCCUUGACUUUCUUCAAGCAUCCAAAGCUCACUUUGGUGUCACAACCAUUGCAUGUGUUCGUCCUUGUCCAUCCACCUGGAACUCUCUGGAUGUGUCUCCCCCCUUUUCAUUUCACUGAUAUCUCUGCUCAAAUGUAACUUUCUUAAUAGAGCUUUCCUAACUCUAUUUUAAACACACCUCAUGACUUUCAACUCCUUUACCUUCCUUUAUUUACUUUCAAAAUAUUUACAACUGCUUGAAAUUACAUUGCAUUUUUAUUUGUUUAUUGUCUAGUCUUCUCCACUAGGUUGUAAACUUCCUGAGACUUUUUGUUUCUUGCUGUACCUGUAGCACUGAGAAGGGUCCUUGAAACAAAACAGACCCUCAACACAUAUGCAUUGAAUGAAAAUAAUUUAUGCAAUCUAAAUCAUUCUGAUUUGGAAAUUUGAUCAUGCCACUUCCCAUCUUAAGCUCUCCAAUGGCUUCUCAUUCCUCUGUGGAUAGACUUGAAGCAUCCAAUAUGGUGUACGAGACCUUCCUAAUUUUCAGUUUUACCUCUAGCAACUCCCACCAUGCAGCUUGAGCUCCAGUCCUCCCUAACCUUUAUGAAGACUAGAACUGUGCUGCUUCAUCUUGUAAUCCCUGGAGUCUAGCACAAUACCUGACACAAAAUGGUUACAAAGCAGCUGGCAUUAAGUGGCAGGAAUUAUGCUAUAAAACAGAGAGUGUAUAGAGUCUUGAUUUUACAUUUCACUAGCUGGUUACUUUAUUGACAAAAUGGUGAUAAUAAAAUCAGCCCUAGCUAUUUCUCACAGGUGAUUUAAAAAUCAAAUUUAUAUAAAAAUAUUUAGAGAGCACCUACUAUGUGCUGGGCACUGUCCUAUGUGUUGAGGGUACAUUAAUGAGUGAAAUAGACAAUGAUUUCUGCCUUCAUGGAAUUUAUGUUCUAGUAGGUAAAAGACUACACACACACACACACACACACACACACACACACACAGGUAAUAAGUGCAAUAGAACUAAUUCAGGGAAGGAGAAUGAGGAGGGCCUGGUGCAGUGCUUAUGCACAUUUUGUACUUGGUGGUCAGGAAAGGCCUCAUAGAGAUGAUGACAUUUGAACAGAGACCCAAAGGGGUUGAGGGAAUAAACCAUGUAGACAUUUGGGGAAAGAAUAUUCCAGUCAGAGGGAACAAUAAAUGCAAAAACCCUGAGGCAAGAACAUGUCUAUAGUGUUCAAGACCAUAUAUUCUGGGCCAUAAAAUAAAUCUCAAUAAAUUUAAAAGAAUUCACACAAUAUAAAGUGUGCCCUCAGAUCACAACAGAAUUAAAUGAAGCUCAAUUUAAUAAAUAAAAAUAAAUAACAGAAAGCAUCUCUGGAUAAUCCUCAAAUAUUUGGAAACUAAAUAACACACCUCUGAAUACCUCAUGAAUCACAGAAUAAAUCAAAAGAGAAUGAAUGGAAUGAAAUUGAAAACAGAAAUUAUUGAAAUUUGUAAGAUACAUCUAAAUUUAUGAAACUCAAACACCCAUAUCAGAAAAGAAGAAAGGUUUGAAAUUAACAACCUCAGCUUCUGCUUUAAGAAAUUAGAAAAAGAAGAGAAAAUAAAACCCGACCUAAGGAGUAGAAGGAAAAUGAUAAAGAUCAGAGUGGGAAACAAUGAAAUAGAAAAUAGAAAAUGAUAGAGAAAAUUAAUAAAAUUAAAAACUUGUCCUUGAGAAAAUCAAAACUGAUAAACCUUUCAUAAAACAGAUCAGAAAAAGAGAAAGAGAAAACACAAGCUACCCAUAUUAGGAAUGUGAGAAGUGACAGUCCGGAUUUGACCAAUAAUAAAAGGAAAAUAAAGAAAUAUUAUGAACAACUUUAUGCCAAUAAACUUGACAACUUUGAUGAAAAUGUACACAUAUCUUGAGUAGUAUAAGCUAUCGAUACAGUUUUGACCCACGUUCCCAUCCAAAUCUCAAGUUCAACUGUAAUCUCCAAUGUUGGAGGGAGGGCCUGGUGGGAGGUGACUGGAUCAUGGAGGUGGGUCCUUCAUGAGUGGUUUAGCACCAUCCUUUUAGUGCUGUUCUUGUGACAGUGAGUGAGUUUUCAUGAGAUCUCGUUGUUUAAAAGUGUGUAGCACCUCCCAUUUCAUCCUUUCUUGCUGCUCUGGCCAUGUGAUCUGCCUGCUCCCUCUUCGCCUUCCACCGUGAUUCUGUUUCCUCAGGCCUCCCCGGAAGCUGAGCAGAUGCCAGCACCAUAAUUCCAGUACAGCCUAUCAAACUGUGAGCCAAUUAAAACUUUUAUUUAUUUUAUUUAUUUUAAAAAAAUUUUAAUUUAUUUAUAAAUUACCCAGUCUCAGGUAUUUCUUUAUAGCAAUGGGAGAACUGACUAAUACAGCUAUCAUAAUGCAUUCAAGAAGAAACAGAAGACACUAAAUAGCCCUGCAUCUAUUAAGGAAAUUAAGUUUAUUUUUAAAAAUUCAAUUUAUAAAGAAGUAUAUGAAUGAAAAUACUUUCCACGAAGUAAAUCCUAGGCCUGAAUUAUUUCAUCUGUGAAUGCUAACAAACACUUAAGCAUGAUAUAAUACUCAUUCUAUGUGAACUCUUCUAAGAAGUUGAAGAGGAGUGAAUACUUCCCAACUCAUUCCACAAGGCUAGCAUUACUCUGAUACCAAAAUCAAAGACAUAAGUAAUGAAAACCAUGGACCAAUUUCCCUUGUGAGCACAGACGAAAAAUCCUUAGCAAAAUUUUAGCAAGUUGAAUGUGACAAUACCUAAAAGAAGACCAAGUAGAGUUUAUCCCAAGAGUGCAGUGUUGGAGGAAAAAUGGGGACAUUGUGGCUAGGCUGGAAUGAGCCAGGGAAGUGAAAUGAGAUUUGAGAACUAAAGAGAACUAGAUCAUGUGGGCCAGAGGAUUUGUUCCUGAUCAUCAUGACCGUGAACUCAAACAAUUAAUACUAGUAGUGUGAAUUUUAGGCCUCUCUACUGGAGAACAGAGAAAAUUGAGGGGUGGUGGGGACUGGUAAAUACCACAGAGAGAAUUGUCAGCCUCAUUGCAAGGCCUUGAUUUUUAAUCUGAGUGAGAUAUAGGAAAACCAUUGAAGAGUUUUGAGCAGAGGAGUGAUAUCAUCAUUUUACUGCAUUUUAGUGAUCUAUUUUAUUGAGAACAUAUUUUAGUGGAGUGAGACUGGAAUCAGGAAGACCAAAUAAUAAUAUGUAAGUCAAAGUAUUCAGUAAAUUAUAAAUGAUUCACAUACCAAUAAUUACUCAAAUAUUGCAAUAACUUCAUCAUUCUCUGUCAUAGUUUAGUGCACCAUUUCUGACAAGCUGCUUUAUAUAUACUUACUUUUUUAUAGAUAACAGUCUUUUGAUAAAAUACAUUUUGCUAGAGAGGACUCUCAGAAGAAUGUGGGGAACUUUGCUUGGUUAUAGGUUGAUCAUUGAAGCCCAGUGGAAUUUUGCCCAACUCUUUUAUUAUACAUCCCUCAGUUUUAUUGUCAGAAAUAAAAUGUUAUGCUGAAUGGUAAGAGCCUAAAAUAAUACAACAUUCCUUUAUACAAUGUACUUGGUCCCAACUUGAUUGUGAUGUCAGAAAUAAACAAUAUUUAAUCAUUUUCCAAGGAGCUGGUCUCCCUUGAACCAGCCCCUUGCAGUCAUUGUUCUCCUGACUGAUGUUAUCAGAGAUCCUAUGCAGGAUCUAAUUCCUACUCAUGCCAGAGCAAGCCAGGAGAAGCUCUACCAACUCCUGGGAGCUACAAAGCGAUAGGUUCCCAGAGUCUAAAACUAUUGGAAAUGAUGUUUGUCUAAAAUGGCCAGAGACAACUUUUAUAAGCUUCCAGGAAGUGGAGAACCAGAAAAACUGAGAAAAAAAAAAAAAAAGCCAAAACACACAAGGUCAAGGGAGCUGAGAAUCAAAGACUGUGAUGACAGGCAAGGCUGUGGAUAUGGAGUGCACCCAAGAGUUCUCUUUCAUAAGGGAUUGAUGAUGUGCUUGGGGCGGGCUGGCCAUUUGCACUAAGUGGUUCAAAAAACGUACAAAGUCCAACCCAUGCCUAAGUGAGUGUUGUAGCUCAUAGCGAUUUAAUUUGUUUUGCCACACUUGAAAGUGCAAUACGAUAGUGAGAGUAUUAAGUCCCUUUGAAGGCGGGCAGGAAGAUUUUUUUGAAGGAAGUAAACACCAUGUAAAGAAUUGUCAGCCUCAUCCACAUUUCAAGUCAAUUCUGCUGACAUGAAAAUGUUUUUCACAGGUCGAGUGUGCGGUUUCCAUUUAGCACACAGGCCUUCCACCCGGGAAAGUCCAGCUUGGCAGUGGCAUUUCCAUCCAUCUCACCAAGUUACCUAUCCACUGCUGUGUGCUUUCAGCGUGAUGCUUCUACAGCUGAGCAUUAUUUAGAAAAUUAUGUAUGUUCAUCUGUACUGAAGCAAUAGUGACAGAUUAACUACCUGACACACGUCAUCUUGAAAUCUCAGGAGGAAAUUACUGCCUACAACACACACACACGACCAGCUUUUAGAGUUUUGAGGUUUCAAAAAGUUCUAUUAAAUGGCUUCGGAAUGUUUGAAAUGUACAAAACAUUUCCUAGGAAUUUUUAUAUCAAUGUUUUUCCUACAGAAAUGUCUGUGAACUAGAAUCGUUUUCUUCUAUUCUCUAUAUAUUCAUUUGGUAAACAUGAAACAUGUAUUCAAGUCUAUACUUGAUACUCAGCAUUCAGAUAUUUAUAACAAUGAAAAACUGAAGUCCCUGUGCUCAAGGACUUCGAUUUAGUGAGGGAUAGAAGUAUAUGCAAGUAGUUACAAUUCAAAAAGGCAAGCUGAUCAGAGAAAUACAAAUAAAGCACUAGGAGUUAAAGAGAAGGAGGUCACUAACUGCCAGGGUCAUUAGAGACCAACAGAGAAAAUUAUAUAUGAUCUGGAUCUUGAUGGACUAAAAGGAAUUUAUGAUGGGGGGAAGCAGAAAGAGUAACAUUUUAGGCAGAAAGAAUAAACCUGGAAGUAUAUAAUCAUGCUAAGACUUAUAUGCUGUAUUAGUCCGUUUUCAUGCUGCUGAUAAAGACAUACCAGAGACUGGGAAGAAAAGGAGGUUUAAUUGGACUUACAGUUCCACAUGGCUGGGAAGACUUCAGAAUCAUGGCAGGAAGUGAAAGGCACUUCUUACAUGGUGGCAGCAAGAGAAAAUGAGGAGGCAGCAAAAGCGGAAACCCCUGAUAAACUCAUCAGAUCUCAUGAGACUUAUUCACUAUCACGAGAAUAGCACAAGAAAGACCAGCUCCCAUGAUUCAGUUACCUCCCCCUAGGUCCACAACACAUGAGAAUUCUGGGAGAUACGAUUCAAGUUGAGAUUUGGGUGGGGACACAGCCAAAUCAUAUCACAGGCCAGAUUGAGGAAGUCUGCUUUUGAUAGUCUCAAUAUCAAGCACCUAGCUAGUGAUUAAUUUUGGCCUGUUCUUUGUGGGUAAAAAUGAUGAGAUAAGUUUAUGUUCAUGAAAUUGAUGGUGAUAAUAAUGAUUAAAAAUAGGAUCUUUCUGUGGAACUUGGCCAACAUGUCCAUGUGGCUGUGCUAACCAAUUAUUUACUAUUUUAUCAACCUGCUUCCAUUUUCCUAUUUCUAAACCCCUUCAGUAUACUUUGAGAAAGUACUAUCAUACAUCAUGACUGUUAGUAGAGCCUAGAAGAUCAAAGAUUUUCUCCUUUGACUAUUCUAAAUAUAACAGUUCUUCUGAAAUCAAUUCAUAUAUUCAACUUAAUUCCUGCCAAAAUUUCAGUGAUACACACACACACACACACACACACACACACGGCAAAAUUGUUCUAAAGUAAAUUCAGAAAAUAAUAGAGAUGAGAAAAUUACAAAAACUAGUGCAAAUACUAAAAUUUGCAGAUAUACUAACAGAUCUAACAUAUUACAACAUGUUAUAUAGCCUCUGAAAUAAAAACGAUUUGUUACUAGGCUAAAAAUAAAAUCUGCAGCCCAGAAGUAGAACAUAUUACAUAUAGCACUAUAGUUUCAUAAAGGAGAUGGCAUUGGUCAAUCAGAAACCUGAAGGUUUAGUCAGUAAGUGCUCUAUGAGGGAUCAGUUAGCAAUUUACAAAGAAAAAUUAAUUUAGAGCCUCAUCUCAUUUCAUAGGCCAAAAUAUAUUUUAGAUAAAGAAGUAAACAUUAAAAAUUAAACAACAGAAACCAGUAAAAAAAGUGAAAUAAAUAUUUAUCAAAUGUCUAGAUUCAAAAGCACUUAGCUUAGAAAUGAUAAAAGGCUUAAGAGAUAAAAAUAAGAUUGAGCCAUAUACAAAUUUAAAACUUUAAUAUCUAAACUCUAAAAAUCAUAAGACAAGUAUCAAAUUGUGAAAAUGGCUACAGAAAAUACUAAAAGCAUUAAUAACUUUAUUGUAUUAUGAGCUUGUAUUAAUGGACAAAAAAAUAAGAAAAAAGGCGGAAAUACAAAUAAAUACAAAAUUAACUACAAAGGGAAAUUAAAAAUAAUUAUGGUUUUUGAUUAUAUAACUAAUCAACAAACAUACAAAACCUAUAUUCAUUCUCAGUUGUAAUGGAAAUCCAAAAUAAAACAACAUUAAGACACAUUUUUUUUACUGGUAUAAAUAGUAUUUUUCUAAUUGAUAAUAUUCAAUGUAAAUGCAAAGAUGGUACAGUGUAGAGUUUCUGUUUGGAUAAUUGGGUGGUCAUUACUUUUAUCUUCUUGAUUUUAUUUUUUUAAAUGUCUUUAAUGGUGAUUUUUUUUACUUUUAUAAUUAAAAAAAUUAAAAGUGACAACAUAUAUGUAUAGUAAUUAAGAAAAAUAUCUUCUCGAAUUGGGGCGAAUUUGUAAUCCUAUACACUGGGCCAACUGGCAUCAGAACUUCCACGGACUGUUGUUAAAGAAUCUGCUCAAAAACAGUGAGAUUUUUCAGUGAAGAAGGCUUAUUUCCAUCUAUCAGGAUCUGCUGAGGCAGCAGAACAGAGAACUAUCUGUUGUCAAUCAGUUCAAAAUACUUAAUAACAAAAUAGGUGUUAUACAGCUAUCAUGAGUCAAAGGCAGAAUUUUUUAUAGAAAAGAACACACUAUAAUGAUUGAAACAUGCAUAUUCAGCAGAGAUUUACUCCACAGAAUUCUAGGCAGCAGGAUUAAAAAAAAAAACAGCAUUGCUAAAUUACUAAAAGCCUAGAGGUGAGUCGUGUGUGUGAUAAGUGCUUCAGAAAACGUUAUCAUCUAUUUUUCUUGUCUUUACAAAGAAACUCUCUGACUUAUGAUGGUUUGACUUAUGAUUUUUCAACUUUGCCAUGAGUUUAACGGGACAUAACCCCGUUGUAGAUUGAGGAGCAUCUGUACUUAUAAAACACCUCCACCUCUACACAAUUUGUUGUUGGUGGUAGUAGGGGCGGGGGCAUGUUAUGGGGGUGAUUCUUGACAGCUCACUAAUAUCUAUAUGAAGGGGUGGAUAGAAUGAUAAAUGGUAGGUAUGAUGUGCUGAUCGGACAAAGGGCCAAAAAGUUCAGUAGAGGAGUUGGGAAGAGAAGUGUCAUGAAAGGUGACAGAAAGACCCACAUGCUUAUUCCUUGGGCUAAAAACCAUUAAUGACUUUCCCUCUGUCCUCUCAGCUUACGUAAAACACAUAAGAUAAAAUCAAGGUCCCUCUUUUAAAAUUAUUUCGCUGAACUGUUGAGUCAGCAACACUGCGUGAAUUUGCAUCUCUACUUUUGCAAGAGCUAUUUAUUUACAGAGCACUGUCUUGUGAAGAUGUUUUGUGGGAUGUAUGACCAUCAAAUCACUGUAAUCCUGAUAAUAACUAGAGUCAGGAGUAUGAAAGUGGGAAGGUUGGCCCCUGGUUGUAUUCUGACUGCUCAAAUCAGUCCUGUAAAAUUGAAAUAAACCUACCUGAGCCAGCUCCUAUCCACCUGAUAGGAUACAAAGAAGACUCACUGGCCUGUGGGUUCUUACGUACAAGCUGCUGUUUUUCCCCUCUACCGAUCAUGGGAAUUUCCAGUUCAGGAGUUUUGUUGGCAUGCCGUCCUGGACAGAGUGAGAGCAGGAGGACCUGGCCACACACGUGCUUAUAUAUCGCUUUCCUUUCUCCAGUUAGAGGUUGGAAAGGUGCUUAUAGAAUCACAAAAAUAAAGAAUAAGAAUGAAACUAAUUUGAACUUGGUUGUAAGAGGGUUUGUCAUUUACUAUAUCCUUCCUGUGUCUAACUCAGAGUUAAAAGAAACCACAACAUUUCCCCCCAAAACUGAUGAAGACUAAAUAAAACACUAAACAUGAAAAAUAAUCAGAAAAAAUAAGAGUUCAUUAAGUGGCUUGAUACAAAAUAAAUAAAAAUUGAUAGUUUUCCUCUAUACUAGCAAUAACCAGUUAGAAAACAAAUACAGAAAUAUUUGUUUCUAUUCACCCACUCCUAUUCACCCCAAAAUAGGAGUGGGAGUAUUGAAAACCUGUAAGAAAAUUAUACUGAAAGUAAGUAGAAAGACAUUUUUAUAAAAUGAUCACUCCUCCCCCAAAUUAAUCAAUAUUUAAUUCAACUUAAGUCUGAUACGAAUGUUUCUGGUUUUUUCAAACAGACUGAAGUUGUAACAUUAAUGUAAAAAUUGGUAUGGGAGAUUGCCUGGAAACUUUUACAAAAAAUAAAAUUGAGAAAGGUAGAAUUGGGUACUUGCUAUGCAGCUCUUAAAACUGUCUGUAAAGGUACUGUGUUCAGUUAAUCAUGAUGUCACUAAAAGAAGAGUCAAAUCAAUAGCAUUCAGAAAAAGAUUCAUUUAACUAUGGAAACUGGAUAUAUAGCAAAAUUAACAUGUUCAAUUUAGUGGAGUAAAUUCAGACUAUUUCAUAAAUGAUGUUAAGAUUGUUGAUCCAUCUAGAAGAAAGCAAAAUUUAAUUUCUACCUCACAACUAAAUAAAAAGUUUCAACUGGGCUUGUGUGUGUGUGUGUGUGUGUGUGUGUGUGUGUGUGUUAAAAUUUGUUUUUUUCUUGUAUCUUGGCUUUUUAAGUAAGUCUAUAUAUAUCUAACUCCUUGUUUAAUGGAAUUUGUAUGUAACAAUAAAUUUUGAAUGCAACAAUUUAACUAUUUUUUUGAUGGACAUCUGGCAUGGUUCUAGUUUUUUAAGGACGCUUUCAUAAAAGUACAAUUACUGAAAUAAAAAAAACUGAGCAUUUAAAAUUUACUAGUUGUUGCUAUAUUCCUGGCACAAAAUUCUGGAAGAAAUUUCUCAUUUAUUUAUUAAGGGGUUAUUCUCAGUUGAUUCAUGGAUGUCUUAACUUGCUCACUACUGCGCUUGAUCAGGAUAACAAGCAUUAACUGGGCACUUUCUUUGCUCCUGACAGUAAGCAAAGAUCAGGAGCAGGAGGCAUAGGAAUGGUGGAGGGGUACAGUAGAAACUCCUUACCCUUAUGCUAUUUCAAAAAAAAGUAGGGAAAAGUGCAGAUUUAUAAGUACCAAAUUGGGUGAUAGUACCUAUUACAUGUGCUUUAAAAGAACCAGAGAUAAAAAAAGAUAAAAGAUUUUUACAAGAUAAAAUUUGGCUAUUUUCUACAACUGUAUUCCCCCAAAAUGAUUAUGACUCCAAAUCCACUUUGAAUAUAAUAUUUAGGGUGAUUAUUAUGAAUAUUAAUGUCCCUAAUAAUUAACUGGAUAAAAUAAAUUCUUCUGCACCAUAAGAAAAUUCAAAAUACAUGAAUGGUCCCAGGACAAAGCUAAUGAAAGGGAAGGAAGAAAUGUAACCAACACUUAUUUAUUAUGUACUUGUACUGUGUCCUAGGUGCUUUGAUUACAUUCUCUUCUAUUUUGUCCACCUCUGGCAUGACAUGGAAGGACAAUGUAUUGCCAGGAAUUCUCCAAAAUGAAGGACAGUUUUAGGGGCAGGAGAUUUUUUUUAAAAGAGCCAGCAUCUAUAGAGUUCCUGCUAUAUGCCAAAUACUGUGCCAGAACCUUGAAUCACACUGCUUCUGUUUCAUACAUGCUCAAUCCUCUAAAGUGAGCUCAAAGAUGCCUUCUAACCACAUGCCAAAGUAGGGAGUUCUAAGAAGAGGACGAAGUCCUCAGGCACACAGUCUUAAGGGUUGAAAGUUUUUAAGUGAGGAGUAGAAGUUAAAAGAAUGUGAAAAUGAACCUUGGCUGACAGAAGCCACCUCACCCAGAUAUGCCAAGGAGAUUACCCUCCCACCGGCACAACCACCACCUGCCCCGCCACUUCCCAACAGCCAAUGGCUGACUCAUGAACACGGAAGUCCAGUCUGCUUCAAAUCAUGAUAAGUCUGCUGUACUACUUAUGCUCCAGAGUCCCCUAUUGAUCAGGCCAAGGCUAGACUUCAUUAGAGGAUAUCCUCGUUUGGUAAUUUGCACUUUCCUAUGUCACUUCCCUUUUUCUGAUAUAGGUUUGGCCUGAAGAACACUUCCUCAAUAAGUCCCUUGUCCUCAGUUUCUGACUUAGGCUCUGCUUCUGGAUAACCCAACAUAAAAUGAAGAAAAUUUGAGUUCCUGGCCAUACUUCUGGUUAUCACACCUAAUGAUUUCUGAUCUUCACAAUGACUCUUCGAGGCAACAAAGUUCUGCAUCAAGCUGGAAAAUGAACACUUGCCCACUUUUCCCUGAAAUACAGCAGGGUCCUGGCUCCAUGGAAGCUCUGGUGAAAUCGUCUUCAAACAUCUUUUAGAAGGCUGAAUACUUUUCCAUUGAGAUACACAGGACCCUUUAUAAAACAGAUGAAAAUGGACUGCUUUGGUCAACGUGACACUUGGAGCCCCUAAAGCCAGGAUGGCCUCAUAAACCCCUCAGUGGUGAGGCUCAGUGGCAGUGCCUGGCUGCAGGCUCCCCAAGUCUGUGACACCCAGCAGGAGAGGGACAAUCUCCUGAGACGACACCUGAGAGAUGCAUGCCAGGAAGGUAGCAGGUGCCAUAUGAGCAGAUUUAUCUCUGAGCAUAUGCCCUGAUGGCUCCAAAAAGGCUGGUGGGGAGGCAACUUUGCAAGGACUUUGGGCUUUGUUUCAGGAAUGAAGACAAUUAACCACAGGAUUUGAAUAUUCUGUAAUUAAUGUAUUUUCUAACAUAAUCUAGUGAAGCCUGGGGAAUUUUUAGUUGCAUACCUCUUUACUCAACUAUGUCUUAGCAGUGGUAC
rnacentral:lncRNA from 1 species